GGGAAGAACAGAGUCUUCCAAUUCACUAACUCAAAGAGAAAGAAUUAAUACAAGGGUUGUGGCCUUAAACUUAUAAACGCCAAAGCUUAAUCAAGAGCUAAACACCUAGCUCUCUUCUUCUGAUUGAACUUAGCCUUCAGGUUUUAUGAAACAAAACCUAGAAGCUGACGUGGGCCUCAGUACAACAAAUACUCUGGAGGCCUGUUCCACUUCUCUGUGGGCUUCAGACACUUCAGCCCAAGUUCAAGAUGGAGACAACAAACCCGACAAACUCCACCUUUGUCUCUAUCGGAAUCUUCGAGAAAGCUCAAACAGUCUUCCUCCACACCGACCCUUGUUUCUCUGUCUCCUCGAACAUUCACCGGUGAAUCUCUACCAAUUCUCCUGUGCAACUUCUUUAGGCUCUUCCACAGCCAUCUCUUCAGCUUCCCAUCUCACAUGCACCUGGAGAUGAUAUGUUAUAUCCGCCGAAAUGAAAACUUCAGCUCGCGACUUUUACUAGCCACUUAAUUCAGUGACAAGUCCGAUCUACUCCACCGCAGACCCUUUCACCAGUACCUGAUUUCGCUUCUAUCAGAAGACCAUUAAGAGCUCAGCAACAGCGAGAUUCGUCGACUAAUCUCUCGUUUGUACGCUCUCAAGUUUAAGACUUUUCCAAGCUUCGAUCUUCAUUCUUCAGCUUACCAACCAAUCUCUGUUUGUCGAAGACAUCAAGAUCCAAACUUCAAGUUAUCUUUCUGUGAGUAUCUGUUUGUAUCCCUUUUGCGAGGUCCUUCAAUCAACCAAACCAGGAACCUCGGGAUGCUUCAUGUCUACUACCGGAUUACCUUGAGAAGUCCGAGACACUUCUCGAAACUCUUCCCAGAUGAGGUAACUUCUUGCAGUGUCAGAGUUUCUUUGUCGUUCCCGUACUUGAGAGUAUGUACUAAAGAAUCAAACUGCUUGGGCAAGCUUGACAGAACCUGUAUUGCUUGAUCUUCAUCGCUGAUUGUGAUGUUCAAGCUUUCCAGAUCAUCUACCAACCUCAAGAAACCAUCGAGGAGAUAAGACACAGCAAGUUUGUUUACCCAGUUCCCGUGAAAGUACGUCUGGGGGAAGAACAGAGUCUUCCAAUUCACUAACUCAAAGAGAAAGAAUUAAUACAAGGGUUGUGGCCUUAAACUUAUAAACGCCAAAGCUUAAUCAAGAGCUAAACACCUAGCUCUCUUCUUCUGAUUGAACUUAGCCUUCAGGUUUUAUGAAACAAAACCUAGAAGCUGACGUGGGCCUCAGUACAACAAAUACUCUGGAGGCCUGUUCCACUUCUCUGUGGGCUUCAGACACUUCAGCCCAAGUUCAAGAUGGAGACAACAAACC